rnacentral:tRNA from 1 species
GCCCGAAUAGCUCAGUCGGUAGAGCAGGGGAUUGAAAAUCCCCGUGUCCCUGGUUUCCGGGUUCGGGCACCA